UCAAAAACAAAAGGAUAUUCCUUCCUGCUCUCACUGGUUAUAUGAACGCAAGCAAAGGAGUGACCUAUUUGCAAGAGAUUUCUCUUUUUCCUUAAGUUGGCUCAAGGGAAAGUUUCAGGUUUACCAGAAUCAUUGUGAAGGCAGGGAAUAAACGAUACUAUGCUUGAUACUCUUGGCGGUACUAGGCAAAGGCGCAAUAAAGGUGAUGAAAUCAAAAAGCCUCCCGUUCGGGCGAAAGACCCCGGGGCUGCCAGACAGGCAGAAUCAAACGAGGCCGCCGCUUCCUUUGCCGCCAUCUCGCUUCUCAGUAGUAACCUUGCCCAAUUAAAGAAUGACAUCUUCGGUUCUUUGCCUAACAAUGAUCAGAAGUACAUCACCUUGAAAUUUGCCACAAUUUCAAUGCUGUUGAUAUCGGUUGUCAGCCAGAUAGUUAUUUUGAUCAUUAAGUAUAAAAUGAGAUCACUACAGGUUUUCGUCCAGGCGGUUGAAGAUAUCGAGUAUGAUGAUGACGA